GGGUGUGUAGCUCAGUUGGUUAGAGCGCUUCUCUGAUAAGGAAGAGGUCCCUGGUUCAAAUCCAGGCACACCCACCA
rnacentral:tRNA from 1 species